UACAGAGGUCUCAAGCGUUUGUUCGGAUUCAUUGGGCGUAAAGGGCGCGUAGGCGGCGGGGUAAGUCGGGUGUGAAAUCUCAGGGCUCAACCCUGAAACUGCACUCGAUACUGCUCUGCUUGAGGACUGGAGAGGAGACUGGAAUUCACGGUGUAGCAGUGAAAUGCGUAGAUAUCGUGAGGAAGACCAGUGGCGAAGGCGGGUCGUCUGGACAGUUCCUGACACUGAGACACGAAGGCCAGGGGAGCAAACGGGG
rnacentral:rRNA from 1 species